GAGUUCUGAAUUCGGCAGUUG
rnacentral:piRNA from 1 species